rnacentral:rRNA from 1 species
CCUACGGGUGGCAGCAGUGGGGAAUAUUGGACAAUGGGCGAAAGCCUGAUCCAGCCAUGCCGCGUGUGUGAAGAAGGCCUUUGGGUUGUAAAGCACUUUCAGUGGGGAAGAAAGCCUUGGGGCUAAUACCCUCGAGGAAGGACAUCACCCACAGAAGAAGCACCGGCUAACUCCGUGCCAGCAGCCGCGGUAAUACGGAGGGUGCGAGCGUUAAUCGGAAUUACUGGGCGUAAAGCGCGCGUAGGCGGUCUGAUAAGCCGGUUGUGAAAGCCCCGGGCUCAACCUGGGAACGGCAUCCGGAACUGUCAGGCUAGAGUGCAGGAGAGGAAGGUAGAAUUCCCGGUGUAGCGGUGAAAUGCGUAGAGAUCGGGAGGAAUACCAGUGGCGAAGGCGGCCUUCUGGACUGACACUGACGCUGAGGUGCGAAAGCGUGGGUAGCAAACAGGAUUAGAUACCCGUGUAGUC